UGGGGAAUAUUGCACAAUGGGCGCAAGCCUGAUGCAGCCAUGCCGCGUGUAUGAAGAAGGCCUUCGGGUUGUAAAGUACUUUCAGUCGGGAGGAAGGUGUUAAGGUUAAUAACCUUGGCAAUUGACGUUACCGACAGAAGAAGCACCGGCUAACUCCGUGCCAGCAGCCGCGGUAAUACGGAGGGUGCAAGCGUUAAUCGGAAUUACUGGGCGUAAAGCGCACGCAGGCGGUUGAUUGAGUCAGAUGUGAAAUCCCCGGGCUUAACCCGGGAAUUGCAUCUGAUACUGGUCAGCUAGAGUCUU
rnacentral:rRNA from 1 species